rnacentral:rRNA from 1 species
UACGGAGGGUGCAAGCGUUAUCCGGAUUCACUGGGUUAAAGGGUGUGUAGGCGGAUAGGUAAGUCCGUGGUGAAAUCCUGCAGCUUAACUGCAGAACUGCCAUGGAUACUAUUAUCUUGAAUGUCGUGGAGGUUAGCAGAAUAUGUCAUGUAGCGGUGAAAAUGCUUAGAGAUGACAUAGAAUACCCAUGCGAAGGCAGCUAACUACGCGAAUAUUGACGCUGAUGACACGAAAGCGUGGGGAUCAAACAGG